rnacentral:rRNA from 1 species
UACAGAGGUGGCAAGCGUUGUUCGGAAUUACUGGGCGUAAAGGGCUCGUAGGUGGCCAACUAAGUCACACGUGAAAUCCCUCGGCUUAACCGGGGAACUGCGUGUGAUACUGGAUGGCUUGAGUUUGGGAGAGGGAUGCGGAAUUCCAGGUGUAGCGGUGAAAUGCGUAGAUAUCUGGAGGAACACCGGUGGCGAAGGCGGCAUCCUGGACCAAUACUGACGCUGAGGAGCGAAAGCCAGGGGAGCAAACGGG